rnacentral:lncRNA from 1 species
UCCAGCUCUGGUCCUGUAGGUGUUUUGCUGCGGAUGAUGUUUUCUGUUUGCUGUAUUUGGAAACGACUGGUGUCUAAGGCUUUGUCCAGCUGUCGUAUAUGUGCUUCUAGGGAACCAGGUUCUCCAGAAGUAUUUUUGAGUGCGUUUUCUGUAAGUGUUACAUAGGCCUCAAGAGUUUCAGGGAUCUCUACAUCUGCUAUACUAGCUGCUCCUCUCAGAUAGAAAUCCUUCUCUUGUUCUCCAUCUUCUUCCUCAGAGUGCAGCGCCCGUGAAAC